GGCUCAGAACGAACGCUGGCGGCGUGGAUAGGGCAUGCAAGUCGAACGCGAAAGAGGGAGCAAUCCCUUGAGUAGAGUGGCGAACGGGUGAGUAACACGUGAGCAAUCUGCCUUCAAGAGGGGGACAACACUCCUAACGGGGUGCUAAUACCGCAUGAGACCACGGGAUCGCAUGGUCCUGAGGUCAAAGGUGGCCUCUAUUUAUAAGCUACCACUUGAAGAUGAGCCCGCGCCUGAUUAGCUAGUUGGCGGGGUAAUGGCCCACCAAGGCUACGAUCAGUAGCUGGUCUGAGAGGAUGGUCAGCCACACUGGGACUGAGAUACGGCCCAGACUCCUACGGGAGGCAGCAGUCGAGAGGCUUUGUCAAUGGGGGAAACCCUGAACAAGCGACGCCACGUGAGGGAUGAAGGCCUUUGGGUUGUAAACCUCUGUUGCUCGGGAAGAAACGCCGGUGGGUGAAUAAUCCGCCGGUUUGACGGUACCGGGUGAGGAAGCUCCGGCUAACUCCGUGCCAGCAGCCGCGGUAAUACGGGGGGAGCAAGCGUUGUUCGGAAUUACUGGGCGUAAAGGGCGCGUAGGCGGUCAGGUAAGUGAGAUGUGAAAUCCUCCGGCUCACCCGGAGAAAUGCAUCUCAUACUGCUUGACUAGAGUGCGGAAGAGGAAUCGGGAAUUCCAGGUGUAGCGGUGAAAUGCGUAGAUAUCUGGAGGAACACCGGUGGCGAAGGCGCGAUUCUGGUCCGUUACUGACGCUGAGGCGCGAAAGCCAGGGGAGCAAACGGGAUUAGAUACCCCGGUAGUCCUGGCCGUAAACGGUGAACACUAGGUGUGGGGAGUAUCGACCCUCUCCGUGCCGCAGCCAACGCAUUAAGUGUUCCGCCUGGGGAGUACGGUCGCAAGGCUGAAACUC
rnacentral:rRNA from 1 species